UGUCUGAGUUGCGAGACUGUCCCAGUGAGUGUAGGCAGAGAUGAACUUGUAUACAAAAAUCUCACAGAGCCGUGUAAGGCGCGAGUGUUUCAGUUCAUCGGUCCACUCCUCUACACGAACACCCGCCUCAAGACACUCCACAGGCUGCAAUAAUCUUGUUACAGGGCGUUCCGCAUAAGUCAUCAAGAAGCAGUAUGAAGAACACUGAUGAAUGGCAGCACCCUUAGCCGACGAUCUACCAUUAAAACGGGUGCAGGAGACGCAGAUGGAGAAGAUUUCACCAUUGUCGGAUUCCGAAAGUGGGCGCCCAGAAGCAACACAUCUAUUCUCUGGUUAUCACAUUGUGAUCGACUGUAGCGCCAUCUGUGAUGUCGACCUGGCCGGGGCGAAGACAUUGAUGGCAGUGGCCCAGGAAUACUCAAAGGUCCAGGUUAUCAUGUUACUCGCCUCUGUUCAAGGUGAGAACCUCAUGA